rnacentral:rRNA from 1 species
GUCCCAGUUCAGAUCGCAGUCUGCAACCCGACUGCGUGAAGUCGGAAUCGCUAGUAAUCGCGGAUCAGCAUGCCGCGGUGAAUACGUUCCCGGGCCUUGUACACACCGCCCGUCACACCAUGAGAGUCGGGAACACCCGAAGUCCGUAGCCUAACCGCAAGGGGGGCGCGGCCGAAGGUGGGUUCGAUAAUUGGGGUGAAGUCGUAACAAGGUAGC